AGGGCCGCACCAAUAGCAUUGCGGAGCUGGCGGGCAGAGCGCACUCCCAGGCUGCGAAGCCUCGCGAGACCGGGGCCCAUUAGGGUCGCUGGUGGUUAGGGGGUUCGCAGCCUGGCGUCCUCUCGUGCGCCUUUCGGUCUUGCAGCCCGACCCUCCGUUCGGCCUGCCUCUGGCCCACCGAGAGCGAAGGCUGAGUAAAUGGCCGGCAGGAGUAGCGAUGAGAAUGAGGACCAUCCGAAGGUUAAACGGCCUUGCGGGCGGCCUCCUGGCUCUAAAACUAGGCUCUCGGCAGCGGCUUAGGCCGCCCGGGGCGAAGCGGAGCACCCGGCUCCCGGCCGGACGCCUGUCAUGAGGAGGCGGAGGGUCAUGCUCCUGGAAGACAGCUUGAAAAUUCUCGAGAAGCUGGAAGAAGGCGUGAGUAACACCGACGUGGGGCGCCUUCCUGGCGUUAAUGAGGCAGCCGUGCGCUCCGUUAAGAAAAACGAGAAGGCCAUCAAGGACAGCGUGGAGAAUGUUUCGCCCAUCUGCUCCUAAGUGCUGUGCAUUCCCCGUGACGUUUACAUCGAGAUGGAGACCGAGUUAAUCUUUUGGGUCGAGGAUUAGACCGUAGAGGGGCAUCUGACGAUGAAGGCCAUUUGGCCUGGCCAGACGCGUGUACAAGCAGCUGGUGGAGACCACUGGGAAGGGCAACCCAGAUACCCUUCAUGCGAGCAAGGGAUGGUUUGAGAGGUGUAGAAAUCGCUAUAGUCUGCGAAAUUCGAGGUUGAUGGGGCAGGAAGAAUCUUUAAAUGCCCAGUCGGCACCCGAGUAUUCCAAGCAACUCCGGAAACUGGUCAGAUCUAGAGGCUUUGUACCUCAGCAGGUCUUCAACGCCGAGGAGAUGAGCCUGUUUUGGAAGUCCUUGCCUUCGCGUACUUUUAGGGAAACAGACAAAAAUCCGGAAAGCUUAGAGGAAGCUAAAGACACAAAAUCCCUUAUUUUUUUGUGCCAGUGCCGUAAGUGACAAAAUGAUAAAGCCGUUGCUGCUUUAUAAAGACCCUGAUCCCACUUGUCUUAUGGAAAAAAAAAUAAAAAACGCCGUCUUGUUUUCUGGCGAGCCCUAACAAUAUGGUUAACAGCUGACUUCUUUUUGGAUUGGUUUCGUAGUUGUUUUAUCUAUCAAACCUUGAGUUCUUUCACAGAAAAAAAUCUUGAAUUUAGAGUGUUACUGAUUUGGACAGAGGUCCCAGUCACCCGGACUCAUUCUUUGCUCAUCCUACUGUUGAUACUGUGUUAUCUCCCUCUGGAAAGCACUAACUGCCUUCAGCACUUGGAUCAGGGUAUAACUGGAGCAUUCAGGAGAUAUUACACCAAGCAUAUGUUUGACCACUUUACUGACUAUUGAAAAGAACCCUUGCCUCACUUUGAAAGAAACAUGGUAACAGUGAACAUUGCUGAAGUUUUGGUAGUGAUAAGAGGUGAUGGAUGAUGUAAAACCAGCUGCUCUUAAUAAAGUCUGGCGGAAACUUUGGGACAAUAUUGUGAAUGAUUAUGCAUGUUUCCCUAGAGCUAAUUAAGUUGAAAAAAGUCAUAGAGUCUGCAAAAUGGAUGCGCUUUAAAUUCAUCGAUAUUGAUGAAAGUGAAAUUAAUGAGCUACUUCAGUUUCAAACUUUGGCAAUAACAGAGUGUAUCUAUAGAUGAGGAAGAACACAAGUCUCUGAAAGUAGACAUAAAGAUGAAUCUAAGGAAAUUAAAUGCUGUUUUAUACCAAGUGUGUAAGGACUAUCAUUUAGUCAUUCAGCAAACAUUUAUUAAGCAUAAUCUGUGUGAGGCCCUGUGCUAAACUCUGGACAUCUCAGGAAAUCAUCUCAGGAUCUAAGGUAAAAUGGUCAUUAACAGUGGCUUUAUUAAUGUCACAGGUAUAAAAGAUCACAGUCUUGAUUUACUUUAGUGGACUUUAAAUAAAAAGGUUUUUUUUUUAGGACCACUUGGCCUCAUUUUCUGUAACCCUGUUUUUUCCAUACUUGCUAAAUUCUUAAUCUCAGAUGGAGAUUUUCUGAGUUAACCUUCUUUGGUAGUUGGCAUGAGAGUACUUGCUCUAGAAUUGCUGUCAUGGCCUUACGUUUUAUAAAGUACUCUUAUAUUAAUCUACUCUAUUAAUUAAUCCUCACUUUAGACCUAUGAAGGAGAUGCUAGCUCUUCCUUUACCAAAAAAACCCCUCAAAAGCUCAGAGAGGUUAAGUAAUUUGCCUGAGCCUGUGUAGCUGUUGAUGUAAAUGAUAGGGCUAGGCCUACAGCCGACUUAAGACACUUUGCUAGGAAGUGUAUUAGGCCUUUAAAAAUUUAUAGUCCCACAGAAUGAGACAGACAGGUAAACAGGUAAAUUAAACACAGGUUGUGAACUGGUGCCUGCAGGCCAGAUUUGGCUAACGUGUUUUGUAUGGUCUGCCCAGUUUAAAACAAUUUUGAAUUGGUUUUCAGCAUUUCCCACCACCCUACCCCUGCCUUUAAGGUGCUAUUUACAUAAAAUACAGUUCGCCAAUUUAAGUGUAUAGCUUGUUGAAUUUUUUAAUGUUUGUGUAACCAGUACCACAAUCAAGAUAUAGAACAGUUUCCUUGGCUUAAAGUUUACUUGUGCCCUUGUCUACUCAAUCCCUUCUCCUGCCCCGGAAAUGUCAUUUAAUAAUCAAGAUAUUUCACAUUAAAAAGCUAGAUUAAAAAAUUGGAAACCCUGACGAAGUGGACUCUGCAUCCCUGAAGGGCAAUAGUCAAUCAUUAGCUUGCUUCUUUUUAAAAUUUGUUUGCAUCUCCCCAUGGUUGAUGUUAAAUGCUGCAACAGAAAUGUGUACAAAGUGCCUUAGGGGGAACAAAGGACUGUGGGACUAAUUAACCUUGGGAAAGGCUGCACAGAGCAGCUGGCCUGGAAAGACGAAAGAGUUCAUAGGGAGAGCAGUUGGGAGUAAGAGUGUUCUAAGCCAAGGAGGAUUAGAAGGGAGAUCCUGGGAGAAGGGGGUGACAGGGGAACAGGAAGGCAGCCACGUGUGUGUUUCAUUUAUUUGUUUUUGUUGGCGGGAUGAGCCUCUAUAAAGUGUAAGAGUUUUGUGUAUCUGUAUUAGUGUUUGUGGGCUGUUGUUUCUGAAGGUUUUAUAUAUCUAAGAAACUUAGGUCUUUUUAUCUCUGCAUCUGUGGAGAUUUUAUGAUUCGCGUGUGUGUGUGUAUGUAUGCGUUAGAAUGGGAGGGGAAAAUUAGUAUUUUUAUUUUUGCAGGGGUUGGAGGUUUGCAUGUGGUGCUUGGGUUGCCCAGUGAAAAUUUCUCCCUCUUUCCCCGCCCCCUCCUUCUGGCCUGGCUGGGACCUGGCUGGGCAGUGAGGCAGGCAGCAGGUGGUAAGGCGAGAGGGCUGUUCAGGCCCUUCGUGCCCGCCCAUCAGCCAGCAACUCGGGCCCGAAGGUCCAAUAGGCUGUGCUGCUCAGUUACCGGCGACGCCAUGGACAGGCUGGGCGCACGGUGCCCCCUGCCAGGCUGCCCGCGGCCCUCAGUCCUUAUAUGCCUCCUGAUCCUGACAGCUUCUUUCCUGACAUACCCCAUGCUCAGGACCCUUAGCCUGCAGCUCCACUCAGUUGUCACUGGCAGCUAUGUCUCCGGCACUUACUCCAUUGUCUUUGCCAACUGUCCCAACGAGCAGAUUGCCAGAGAUAUUGCCAGGGCUGUCCUGGAUAAGAAGCUGGCUGCAUCUGUGAACAUCCUGCCUAAGGCAUCCUCGCUGUACUUUUGGAAUGGAGAAAUAGAAGAGGCCACUGAGAUCCUGUUGCUAAUAAAGACGAAGACUUCCAAGGUCCAUACGCUGUCCAGCUACAUCAGGAACUUUAGGGAAUUAAGUGAUUUGUCCAUGCUUACAUAGCUAAGAGGUGGCAGACUGAAUUUGAACCCGUGUCUGUGAGACUCUCAAGACGUCUGGCCUAACUGAUCACUUGGUGACAGGUUGAUGCAUCCUUUUGAAAUCCCAGAGAUCUUCAGUCUUCCCAUGGACCGAGGAGAUGCACACUAUUUAAAGUGGCUGGAGGAGGGCAUGAAGGAGGAAUGAGUGGGGGCUUUUUGUGCACCCUACUGGCAGCCUUGAGCCUUCAGCAGCUGUACCAUGGGGGAAGAGAGGCUUAUGUCUGCCUCGCAGUGUCGCCAUGCUUUUGUCAGCACAGAGGAGCUGAGUCACUUUUGGAGGAUGAAGGUCUGAGGCUCCUGAGGCUGGAAGAGGACACUGGGCCAUUCAGGCUGAACAAGAACCCAGUGGAACUUGUCUCCGAGUGUGUCAUGCUUGAAGGUGGCCAGGGGUGGGAUGAUGAUGAUUGUGUGUAGGGGCCAAGGGGAAGUGGCAGUGAGGGUGAUAUUUGUCAUCUGCAGUCACUGAGCCAAUGUCGAGUGCCUAGUAUGUAAUUACUCUGCUUCUCAUGAGGGGUGGACCUGAGGACCUGUUCACUCAGGAGUGUGGGAGGAAUGCCACUUUCUAGGGGAACUGGAAGUACUUUAUCCAAAAGGAUGAAUUGCUAAUGGAAUUUCAAGGCCAAGCAGAAUUAGCUCUCCUGGCUAAAGAUGGUGUUUGUUACUCCUGGGUCCUGAGGACGCGGGGCUGGGAGUGGGCUUCAUGAGUGCAUUCAGAACCGGGGAACAGCAGGGCUGAGACACAGCCUCUCGGGUUGGGAGUGGUCUUGACUCUUUCCUGGCCUGAGUGUGGCAGACAUCAGCAGGUUCUGGUGCCUUGCUCAGUGGCGACGUAGAUUCUGAGCCCACCCUGCUAACCUUUCCACUUGAGCGCUGAAACCGAGCAUCCCCGAGAAGGAAAGAACCCUCAGGAACUGCUAGACUGGUGGUGUUCAGACUUGGUCCACAGAGCCCAGGGGCUGACAGAAGGCACCCUAGGGGCUACCUGGGUGUGGCAGUAAGAGUUGGGACCCCCACUCACACCUCAGCCAGUGCACUUGUGCUUUUAUUAUUUGUGUAUGUAGAGCUAAGUGUGUGUGUGUUUGUUUGAUAAAGGUUUGUAAGCCAGUGGCCUGAGUCAGUCUCUAUUUUGUAGAUUAUAAAGGAAGCUGAACUGCACCGAGGCCCAGAAGCAGGGACCUGUUGGGUUACAAACAGUACAGCCAAGGCUGCUCGCCCUGGUGCUCUCUGCCUGCUGCACGGGUGUCGGGUGGACGAGGGCAGGGAGGGCAGAGCCCCGUGGGGUGAGAAGAGAGACUUGACCAAGGCCCCCUCUGUGGCUCUGGCACAGGGUAGCUGCACUCUGCAGAUACCGUGGGCAGUGUGGGUAGUAGCCUGGGUCUUUCUUCCUAGAGGGAAGGGUGUGGGAGGGGGGUUGCCAGGCUCUAGUUCUGACACCUUCUGUGCUUCUUGGACCUUAGUUUCUCCAAAUAUAAAAUGAGGGAGGACCUCCAAGGGCCCUUGUGUGAAGACCUUGUAGGGACUUCAGGCUGAGCCCCUUCCAAAGGUCCAGAGGAUCCUUUUAUGAUAGCCAGUGAGGAUUCUGGUGGGCUGCCUCAGGAGAACAAAGAGAAUGAUAGUGGUGAUGUCCUUUUCUUAUGACAGGUGUUUCUGGUACAUGUGAAAAUCUUGUGUAAAGUAAACCUUACUGAAAAUGUACUGGGGACCCCAGAUGGACUGCCUGUGUUGCUUUCAGGAUAAAGUCCAAUUUCUUGGUCUGGCUUUCAAGGCCCUUUAUAGCCUUGCCGCAGAUCUCUUUCUCCGUCUUUACCUUCCACCUCCCUCUCCUGCCCUGGCAAGUGGGUGAGUCCAGUAUGCUGUGCUGUUACCCUCCUGCCUGAGCGCCCUUCUGCACAAACGCUUGUGAAAUCUGGUGGCUCCUUUGCAAAGGCUGGCGUCCCCAGUUGGAAGGAGUCUCUCCUGCCUGGUGUCCUUGUGCAUCACAGUCUCCUGUUUCUAGAUGUGAGCUGCUCGAGGUGAGGGGGCAUGUUUGAAUCUAUUUGGUCGUUUGCACAGGGUUUGGCAAAUACUUCCCAAAUUGAUGUUUCAAGCAUUUGAAUAAAACUUUCUUGAUAGUCCAGUUA